GCCUACCUCAGAGCAGGCGAGAUCACCCGCUGAAUUUAAGCA
rnacentral:rRNA from 6 species